rnacentral:rRNA from 1 species
AUGAACGCUGGCGGCGUGCCUAAUCCAUGCAAGUCGAGCGAACAGACGAGGAGCUUGCUCCUCUGACGUUAGCGGCGGACGGGUGAGUAACACGUGGAUAACCUACCUAUAAGACUGGGAUAACUUCGGGAAACCGGAGCUAAUACCGGAUAAUAUAUUGAACCGCAUGGUUCAAUAGUGAAAGACGGUUUUGCUGUCACUUAUAGAUGGAUCCGCGCCGCAUUAGCUAGUUGGUAAGGUAACGGCUUACCAAGGCAACGAUGCGUAGCCGACCUGAGAGGGUGAUCGGCCACACUGGAACUGAGACACGGUCCAGACUCCUACGGGAGGCAGCAGUAGGGAAUCUUCCGCAAAGGGCGAAAGCUUGACGGAGCAACGCCGCGUGAGUGAUGAAGGUCUUCGGAUCGUAAAACUCUGUUAUUAGGGAAGAACAAAUGUGUAAGUAACUAUGCACGUCUUGACGGUACCUAAUCAGAAAGCCACGGCUAACUACGUG